AAAAGUAUUCUAGCCACUACCCAAACUUUCUGCAGUCACUCUACAACAAUGCUCUCUCUCUUUUCGGUUGCACAAUUUUUGUUAGCUUCUUGAUAUCUUUGUGCUUAAACAGUUGAGUAGUAAUCUCCAACCUAGCUCGACUAGCAUCAAAAUUUAUCAUCAUGGACUUCAUGUUGUUACAUAGCAUGUACUUUGCAUACUUAAUGACGAAAAUG
rnacentral:lncRNA from 1 species